rnacentral:rRNA from 1 species
AUGCGUGGGACCUUGUUUCUCAUCCUCCCGGUGUUCGUCCAAUCACUUGUAAGUGGGUCUACAAGGUUAAGACUCGCUCCGAUGGUUCUCUUGAGUGCUACAAAGCUCGUCUUGUGGCUCGCGGCUUUUAGCAGGAGCAUGGUCGUGAUUACAAUGAGACUUUUGCUCCUGUGCCCAUAUGACAACUAUUCGCACAUUUCUUGUUGUGGCCUCUAUUCGUCACUGGUCUGUCUCAACUUGAUGUUAAGAAUGCCUUUCUUAAUGGUGAGCUGCGUGAGGGGGUUUACAUGCAGGCCACACAUGGGUAUUAUGUUCCUGAUGGCAUGGUCUGCCAUCUUUGUCGCUCUCUCUAUGGCCUUAAGCAAGCCCCUCACGCCUGGUUUGAGCGUUUUUCCUCUGUGGUGA